UUAUAACAUCAGGAGCGGUUUCAUAGCAGAAACCCGCCAACCGACCCAUGUGGGCACGGUGGUUUGAUCCUUAAACGGUAGAUGUGCCUCACAAGAGGAAUCUUAAAGCCGCCUGA
rnacentral:ncRNA from 10 species